rnacentral:rRNA from 1 species
UACGUAGGGGGCAAGCGUUAUCCGGAUUUACUGGGUGUAAAGGGAGCGUAGGUGGUUCGGUAAGUCAGAUGUGAAAGCCCGGGGCUCAACCCCGGGACUGCAUUUGAAACUAUCGGACUUGAGUGCAGGAGAGGUAAGUGGAAUUCCUAGUGUAGCGGUGAAAUGCGUAGAUAUUAGGAGGAACACCAGUGGCGAAGGCGGCUUACGGGACUGUAACUGACACUGAGGCUCGAAAGCGUGGGGAGCGAACAGG